rnacentral:rRNA from 1 species
GUGGGGAAUAUUGCGCAAUGGGGGAAACCCUGACGCAGCGACGCCGUGUGAGGGAAGAAGGCUUUCGGGUCGUAAACCUCUGUCAGAAAGGAAGAACCUCCCAUAUCCGAAUAGGGUGUGGGACUGACGGUACUUUCAAAGGAAGCACCGGCUAACUCCGUGCCAGCAGCCGCGGUAAUACGGAGGGUGCUAGCGUUAAUCGGAAUCACUGGGCGUAAAGCGCGCGUAGGCCGCUUCUUAAGUCGGACGUGAAAGCCCUCGGCUCAACCGGGGAACUGCGUUCGAUACUGGGAGGCUUGAGUCCUGGAGAGGGUGGCGGAAUUCCGGGUGUAGGAGUGAAAUCCGUAGAUAUCCGGAGGAACACCGGUGGCGAAGGCGGCCACCUGGACAGGUACUGACGCUGAGGCGCGAAAGCGUGGGGAGCAAACAGGAUUAGAAACCCCAGUAGUCC